GUCUGGGAUGGGUUGGGGCGGUUUCGUUUUGGCGACGUUGAUGGCCGCAGGGGGAGGCGACGCGAAUACUGUCAGGUCUACAUGGGAGCCGCUUUGGGGAGACUCCAUCUCCGAAGCGAGGUGG
rnacentral:SRP_RNA from 11 species